rnacentral:rRNA from 1 species
AUUGAACGCUGGCGGCAUGCUUUACACAUGCAAGUCGAACGGCAGCGCGGGCUUCGGCCUGGCGGCGAGUGGCGAACGGGUGAGUAAUACAUCGGAACGUGCCCAGUAGUGGGGGAUAGCUCGGCGAAAGCCGGAUUAAUACCGCAUACGACCUGAGGGUGAAAGCGGGGGAUCUUCGGACCUCGCGCUAUUGGAGCGGCCGAUGGCAGAUUAGCUAGUUGGUGGGUAAAGGCCUACCAAGGCGACGAUCUGUAGCUGGUCUGAGAGGACGACCAGCCACACUGGGACUGAGGCACGGCCCAGACUCCUACGGGAGGCAGCAGUGGGGAAUUUUGGACAAUGGGCGAAAGCCUGAUCCAGCAAUGCCGCGUGUGUGAUGAAGGCCUUCGGGUUGUAAAGCACUUUUGGCGGGAACGAAAAGGACUGUGCCAAUACCACGGUUCGAUGACGGUACCCGCAGAAUAAGCACCGGCUAACUACGUG